AACUCCUGGACGAGCAGUUUGUUCAGCUGGAGGAACUCGAGGCUGAGGGCAACCCCAACUUCGUGGUAGAAGUUUUUUCCUUGUAUUUCCGGGACUCUACCAAGACCCUGGAAUCUGUCGGGCAAAUGCUGGAGAAGACACCUGUGGAGUUUGACAAGGUGGACAGGGCUCUUCACAUGCUGAAGGGCAACAGCGCCAGCGUCGGUGCUUACAAAGUUGUGACUGAAGUGAAUCGCAUGAGGGAUCUCAUCGAAGAGAAGAAUC